rnacentral:rRNA from 1 species
GGAGCUUGCUCCACCGAAAGAAAAAGAGUGGCGAACGGGUGAGUAACACGUGGGUAACCUGCCCAUCAGAAGGGGAUAACACUUGGAAACAGGUGCUAAUACCGUAUAACACUAUUUUCCGCAUGGAAGAAAGUUGAAAGGCGCUUUUGCGUCACUGAUGGAUGGACCCGCGGUGCAUUAGCUAGUUGGUGAGGUAACGGCUCACCAAGGCCACGAUGCAUAGCCGACCUGAGAGGGUGAUCGGCCACACUGGGACUGAGACACGGCCCAGACUCCUACGGGAGGCAGCAGUAGGGAAUCUUCGGCAAUGGACGAAAGUCUGACCGAGCAACGCCGCGUGAGUGAAGAAGGUUUUCGGAUCGUAAAACUCUGUUGUUAGAGAAGAACAAGGAUGAGAGUAGAACGUUCAUCCCUUGACGGUAUCUAACCAGAAAGCCACGGCUAACUACGUGCCAGCAGCCGCGGUAAUACGUAGGUGGCAAGCGUUGUCCGGAUUUAUUGGGCGUAAAGCGAGCGCAGGCGGUUUCUUAAGUCUGAUGUGAAAGCCCCCGGCUCAACCGGGGAGGGUCAUUGGAAACUGGGAGACUUGAGUGCAGAAGAGGAGAGUGGAAUUCCAUGUGUAGCGGUGAAAUGCGUAGAUAUAUGGAGGAACACCAGUGGCGAAGGCGGCUCUCUGGUCU